UUUCUGCAACGUUCCCCAACAACAUUUUGCAGCAUGGGGAGCAGCUAAGGAGACAUCAACACUCAUUAUCACAACUGACUUAUGUAAGAGAUGACGGCACAAAACUUGAAACCACAAAGACUUCACGUCCACUGUACGUCGUUCGCUCGGUUGCCACCAUGGGAAAGGGGUUAGUUAGGGUUUGUUGUCAGGGUCCAUUCCUCCUUCAGAUGGGCCGUCCUUCCUCUUUCAGGUAUAUAUCUGGACCAUCCACUCGGUUUGCUAAUUUAUAAUUUUUGUUUAUACAUGUUUGAUUAUCUGCUUUGAUUUUUCAAGAAGUUCUGCUGUGAUAUACAGAUGUUUGAUUAUCUGCUUUCGAAUAUAUGCCUGAUUUGACCUUUGUUGUAUCCUUGGAAAAUGAAUGAUUGGUUUGUAAAUGUUUGAUUAUCAGAGCCUUGAACUGUACAACUAAAUGUUUAUUAGCGCUUCGGUCAUGGCUGGCUGCAUAAGCAUGAUUCAGCAAGGGAUUGUGUAUUUGCUCCCUGGGAAUACUACUUGCUAAUUUUUAUUAGCGCUUCGGUCAUGUGAUGGUUUGGACC